rnacentral:rRNA from 1 species
GACGAACGCUGGCGGCGUGCUUAACAUAUGCAAGUCGAACGAUGAAGCCGGAGCUUGCUCCGGUGGAUUAGUGGCGAACGGGUGAGUAACACGUGAGCAAUCUGCCCUUGACUCUGGGAUAACUGCGGGAAACUGUAGCUAAUACCGGAUACGACACCUUGGGGAAUCCCAGGGUGUGGAAAGAAUUUCGGUCAAGGAUGAGCUCGCGGCCGAUCAGCUAGUUGGUGAGGUAAUGGCUAACCAAGGCGACGACGGGUAGCCGGCCUGAGAGGGUGACUGGCCACACUGGAACUGAGACACGGUCCAGACUCCUACGGGAGGCAGCAGUGGGGAAUAUUGCACAAUGGGCGAAAGCCUGAUGCAGCAACGCCGCGUGAGGGAUGAAGGCCUUCGGGUUGUAAACCUCUUUUAGCAGGGAAGAAGCGAAAGUGACGGUACCUGCAGAAAAAGCACCGGCUAACUACGUGCCAGCCGCCGCAGUAA